AUCGAACCUGCAUCCUCAUGGAUCCUAGUCAGCUCGAAUGGCAGCAGCGGGAGGGCAGGGAUUCACCGGGCACCUGGAGAGCAGCGGGGCCGCCGCGGGCGCUUGCUGGGUAGCUGCGGACCGCAAGGACGACUGCACUGGGAAGGAGGGCCUCCAGAGAUGGUGACAGACUUGCUCAAGGUCGUAGAGGGUGGCUGAGACAGCACUUCCGGAGGCCGCGGCAGACGAGCUGAGACUGUGGCCCUGCCUGGGCGCCUGCGCGCUAGACGGAGGAGGGAAGCCCCUUGGUGGCUGUGAGAUCUCUGACGUGCUUAAGUGGGGAGAACUUUCCAACAGAAACCAACAGGGAGUCAUACUUGACCACAGAAAAAUGAAGAUUCAAUGUCUCUAGAUCUUUCCCAAACACGACGUCACAGGCAACGGACGAUCUCGGAAAAGACAGGUGCUGUGUGAUCCCACCUGUACCAGGUGCCUGGAGGAGCCAGAU